GGGAAGGGGUGACUAGUGACAGAGGGAAGGGGUGACUAGUGACAGAGGGAGGUGUGACUAGGGACAGAGUGAGGGAGGUGGUGACUAGUGACAGGCACUCACUCUGUCACUAGUCAUUCCCUCCCUCCGUCACUGGUCACCCACUCCCUCCCUCACUCUGUCACCAGUCAUCCCCUCACUCUGUCACUUGUAACCCCUUCCUUCCCUCACUCUGCCACUAGUCACCCCUUCCCUCACUCUGUCACCUGUCAGCCCCUCACUCUGUCACUAGUCACCCCCUCACUC